rnacentral:lncRNA from 1 species
AACUAUAGUCCAACCGAGAGUGAUCUUCGGUGAAUGUUAUCCAACAUGAGUAGUAUUAUGUUUGUGGACAAAUGCCACUAACAUCUAAGUGAAUUACCCUCAACAACUUUGUGAUUCUUUCUUCUUUCCAAAAGAAUAAAGAUUCGAACAUUUCGCCUUUGUACAAUUUUAACAAGAAGGUAUUGGAUCCGGAUCUAACGAUCCAAAGCGUCCAUCUAUGACCAACUCGUAAUUUAUGUUUUAAAGGAAUCACAACUUUAGUUGGGAUUAGUCACUACCUUGCAACCUUUUGGGUUUUAAGCAUCAUUAU